CUUGGUGAUGUAUCAGUGGGGCAACACCUCUUUCCAUUCCGCACAGAGAAGUAAAGUCCACCAGAGCCGAUGAUAGUUCUUCGGAGCAAAAGUAGGCGAUCGCCAAGA
rnacentral:rRNA from 1 species